GUGUUGGCUAUCAUUGUUGUCUGGUGCUCAUUAGUAAUAACAGUUUAUCUGUUUUGCUGACUGUCUGUUAUAGAGAAUUCUUUGAUUUGUUGUUGGUGUUUGUGUCUUCUUCAAAGGAUCUCUUGUCUCGUACUGUAAUUGUCUGGAUUCUUAGUAUGUUUGAGUUGAAAUAUUGUUUCUAGAAAUCCUUUUCUCUUGAUUUAUUUCUCUAGGUUGUUGUGUAUAUGCCUGUUUUGUUAAAUCUGUAAUGGUUCAUACAGAUGUAUGUUCAGGUUGUGAAGUUUUUUUUUUUUUUUUUUUUUUUUUUUUUGCAUAGGAAUUUGGUGUUAACCGACAUGAAUCUCUUUGGGAGGAAAGUGGUGGUUUAGACAUGUUUGCCACCUGAAUGAAGGGGGCAUGUUAAAAAUGAUAUUUUGGGCUGUCAUCCAGGUUGCAACAUGAUCUUAUGUGUGAUAGGUUGGGUAUUAUUAACAUGCAUAGUAUAUGAAUGAUGGGGGAAUGUUGAAAAAUAAGAAAUUAAUUCAUAUACUAUGGUUAUGUUAUAAUCAUUGAUCAUUCAUAUGUUAUAUGUUGGGUUAUUGUUACAGGACUCGUUAUUAAGUGGGCCUGUGUUAAUUGGGCUUGAUAUAACAGAUACAUACAUUUGGUGAACUUGAGGUUUGUUAUGUUGUUUAGUUUGUUAUAACAGAUACAUACAUACAUUUGUUUAAGUAUGGCAGGUUGAUUAAAGGUUAAGGGUGCUAGAUGUAAACUUUGAGGGACUCCGAUCAUCUUUUCACAUAUAUUUGGACUGAUGUGUAAAUGUUAAGGCUGGAAAUAUAAAAAGCAUCAGAUGUGCUUGUUACAUUAGCUGUCCAGAUUAGUUUUCCCCAAAUUUUUUCCACUCUCAUAGUUUCUCUCAUGUGCAAAGGCGAUUAGGGUUUCGAGACUCUUCUUUUGUCAUCGCAGCUCACUUCUUAUCAUCUGGACACACAUCAGAUUUUGAGGGUAACUGAUCUGUGGAGAUCUGCUGUGAUUUGUUCGUCUUGUUGUUAAUAUUUAUCUGUUCAUCUCGUUGUUAAUCUUGCAUAUGAGAUCUUGAUUCUGUGUAGACUAGGUUGUAUACUUUCCUAUAUCUUUCCUGUCUUUGUAUUUGAAGAUCAACUGAUUGUUUAAUCAGUCGAUCUAAAACAUAUGUUUGUCAGGUCUUACUCCGUGUAAGAUCAAGGGUAUUGGUUGGGUGUUUUUGGUUUGGGUUAACUAAUAAGAGUUUUACGUUAUUUUUAUCGCUUAUUUUGUGUUCUUUGUUAUUUCUGAAAUUAUGUUGUGCAUUCUUCAUAUCAUUUUGACAUGGUAUCAGAGCCUAUAAGGCUCCGAUUCUUUGUUCUUCCACUGCUGAUAGUGUUCUUCCGCUCAUUCGGGUGUUAUUCAAUUUUUUAUUGGGGUUUUUUUUUGAAGUUUAAUAUGUUGUAAAGGUUUUCAGUUCUAAGUUUAUGCUUGUGGUUCAUGAUAUUAAAGUUAAGAUCAGAUCGACGUGUUGUUUACCUGAUUUGACGGUUUUUCCUUGGAGAUUUGUAAUUCUGAAACCCUAACCUAGGGUUUGUUGAAGAGUCAGGUUACUUCUUUUAUCAAAUUUGCCUAGGUUUAACUUCUUUGAUUCUGUUUUAAUGUAAAGAAAAAGAAAAUUUGGUGGUGCUGGUGUUAUUGCAUCAGAUUUGACAUGUUUAGGACUUCCUCUAAAAUUAGAAGAAGACAAAGAGUAAUACUGCUGAAUUUCUUGGGUUGGUGUCUUCCUUAUAGAACCGAAAUCUGAAGAUACGAGCUAUCCAAACAACAAACCCUAACUGAAGAUUUGUGUGAUUCAGUUCGUUGUUUGGCUGUUAACUACUGAAUUUGGUGUUAACCGACAUGAAUCUCUUUGGGAGGAAAGUGGUGGUUUAGACAUGUUUGCCACCUGAAUGAAGGGGGCAUGUUAAAAAUGAUAUUUUGGGCUGUCAUCCAGGUUGCAACAUGAUCUUAUGUGUGAUAGGUUGGGUAUUAUUAACAUGCAUAGUAUAUGAAUGAUGGGGGAAUGUUGAAAAAUAAGAAAUUAAUUCAUAUACUAUGGUUAUGUUAUAAUCAUUGAUCAUUCAUAUGUUAUAUGUUGGGUUAUUGUUACUGGACUUGUUAUUAAGUGGGCCUGUGUUAAUUGGGCUUGAUAUAACAGAUACAUACAUUUGGUGAACUUGAGGUUUGUUAUGUUGUUUAGUUUGUUAUAACAGAUACAUACAUACAUUUGUUUAAGUAUGGCAGGUUGAUUAAAGGUUAAGGGUGCUAGAUGUAAACUUUGAGGGACUCCGAUCAUCUUUUCACAUAUAUUUGGACUGAUGUGUAAAUGUUAAGGCUGGAAAUAUAAAAAGCAUCAGAUUUGCUUGUUACAUUAGCUGUCCAGAUUAGUUUCCCCAAAUUUUUUCCACUCUCACAGUUUCUCUCAUGUGCAAAGGCGAUUAGGGUUUCGAGACUCUUCUUUUGUCAUCGCAGCUCUCUUCUUAUCAUCUGGACACACAUCAGAUUCUGAGGGUAACUGAUCUGUGGAGAUCUGCUGUGAUUUGUUCGUCUUGUUGUUAAUAUUUAUCUGUUCAUCUCGUUGUUAAUCUCGCAUGUGAGAUCUUGAUUCUGUGUAGACCAGGUUGUAUACUUUCCUAUAUCUUUCCUGUCUUUGUAUUUGAAGAUCAACUGAUUCUUUAAUCAGUCGAUCUAAAACAUAUGUUUGUCAGGUCUUACUCCGUGUAAGAUCAAGGGUAUUGGUUGGGUGUUUUUGGUUUGGGUUAACUAAUAAGAGUUUUACGUCAUGUUUUAUCGCUUA